rnacentral:rRNA from 1 species
AUUGAACGCUGGCGGCUUGCCUUACACAUGCAAGUCGAACGGCAGCACGGACUUCGGUCUGGUGGCGAGUGGCGAACGGGUGAGUAAUAUAUCGGAACGUGCCCUGGAGUGGGGGAUAACUAGUCGAAAGACUAGCUAAUACCGCAUACGAUCUACGGAUGAAAGUGGGGGAUCGCAAGACCUCAUGCUCGUGGAGCGGC